GCUUAAAGGAUGGUUUUUAAAUUUGAAAAGCAGUCCGGUAGAUAACGGAUUGCUCUCAAAAUGGUUUUCAUGCAUGUUGCCAUUUAUGGCGAUCGUCUGCAGAAGGCAGUCAUCCUCAGGAUGACUGGACUGAAGGCUAUAAACUUGCUUCAGUGAUGCACUUCCGCUGGCCACAGUGUGUUCCCAGCAACCUGAAGACCCUGAUUCCCAACACUAGCAGUGAGGCGAUCCAUCUCAUGAGGGAUAUGCUGCAGUGGAACCCAAAGAAGCGCCCUACAGCCAGUCAGGCACUUCGUUGUUCCUAUUUUAAUGUUAGUCAAGCCUUGGGGACUCCUCUGCAUUUACAAGAGCAAGGGAAACCACAAACAACGCCACAACAACUACCGUAGCACCUGAAACCUGUGCAUCCUCCUCAGCCCCCACCUCGGCACCAGCACCCCUCCCCAUCUAGACCCUUGCAACAAAUCCAGCCUGCUUAGCACCUAGUGUAUCCAUACAAGACAGACUGUACACAGGAGGUGUUUGACAGAGCGACACAACUGGAAGGACAGAACCAGCCGAACCAGCCUCUCUUUCCAGUGUUAAAAGCCAAAGAGCCUUUGCUGAUAGCGGCAGCAUCAGGGACAGAAAACGCAGGCCCUGUUUUUCAUGGCAAUCGAAAAGGCAGUAGACGACGAUGGGGUCACAUUUCAGGUGUUUUGAAAAGCUCAGGUGACUGGGAGAGCUUUGAGAAGAUCGAAACGAGUUCUCUGAAUAAAGCAAAGAUGGCGAAUGAAAACUGGAGACAAGGAGAAGACGCUCUGGGCAGGUAAA